GAUUGGAUGGGUGAGAGGGAUUCAAUGGGAACAGAGAACAGAGGUUCUCAUUGCUGAGAUGGCAGGGGUCAUAGGGUAAAGACCGGAGAAGCCACUAGGAGUUAAGAAAAGGUCCCCACCAGCAGUCAGAAAGGAAACAGGGACCUCAGGCCUGCGGCUGCGAGGAACUGAACGCUGCCAACCACCUGACCCCUGUCACGGACUUGCUGGAGUGUUAACUCUUUGAAGCCUCACUCCUGCCUGUGAAGAAGCUGCUGCAGUCCUGACUCCUGCGUCACAGACUCGCUUCCCCUUUCCUCAGGAAAAGGAUGUUGGAACAUGAACUGCAAGGAGCUCUCAGAUCUGACAUUCCCGGCUGUUCUGAUCUUUCAGUCCUCUGCAGGACGGAGGCUGUGUGGACGGAGGCUGUGUGGCUGGAGAUCCCACCGUCUCUGAGUUC